rnacentral:rRNA from 1 species
UACAGAGGGGGCAAGCGUUAUUCGGAAUUAUUGGGCGUAAAGGGCGCGUAGGCGGCUUUGCAAGUGACGGGUGAAAUCCCUCGGCUUAACCGAGGAACUGCCUGUCAGACUGCAUUGCUUGAGUCCGGGAGAGGUGAGUGGAAUUCCCAGUGUAGCGGUGAAAUGCGUAGAUAUUGGGAGGAACACCAGUGGCGAAGGCGGUGUGCUGGGUAGAUACUGACGCUGAGGUGCGAAAGCGUGGGGAGCAAACAGG